UACGGAGGGGGCUAGCGUUGUUCGGAAUUACUGGGUGUAAAGCGCACGUAGGCGGACCAGAAAGUUGGGGGUGAAAUCCCGGGGCUCAACCCCGGAACUGCCUUCAAAACUAUUGGUCUGGAGUUCGAGAGAGGUGAGUGGAAUUCCGAGUGUAGAGGUGAAAGUCGUAGAUAUUCGGAGGAACACCAGUGGCGAAGGCGGCUCACUGGCUCGAUACUGACGCUGAGGUGCGAAAGCGUGGGGAGCAAACAGG
rnacentral:rRNA from 1 species